UAUCAUUUCGUGUUUAAUAAAACAAUUGGUGAAAUUUUCCUUGACGUCUGUUAGGGGAUAGUUUGGUAUCUCUAAUCAUUUUGGUUUACCUGUUGGAAGGUUAUACAUUGGUUCAGAAAGUUUUUCAUGGUUCACAUGUUUUAUUUUCUGCCAUGCGAUUCAUUGGGUCGAGAAAUCAAUAAAUGUGUAUUACUUUAUACGGUUUGCAAAUAACACUAAUGUCAGCGUAGCGUACGGAAGACAUAUACCAUGAGACACCAGCCAAUGAUGGCACUCAGCGUGAGGGAUUAAGAAGAAGCAUGGGUCAAUUCGUUGGCAAAAGGAAUGUUGAGAUCGCUGUGGAUAGUGAGUUUAGGUGACGUAGUAAGGAUCUUUGACGAUUUGUCUGAGGACUUUUGAUCGAAAGGAUGGAUGUUGUAGAUGGUGAUGGCUUGGCAGAACACCACAGUUCCACGCUGUGUGUCCAAACUGGUCCAGUAAAGUCUUGUACAGGGUUAUAAAGAUAAUAUAAAUAAAGAUAUUCG